AUUGAACGCUGGCGGCAGGCUUAACACAUGCAAGUCGAACGAGUGGCGGACGGGUGAGUAAUGAGUGGGAAUCUGGCUUCUGGAGGGGGAUAACGACGGGAAACUGUCGCUAAUACUGCUUACCAUAGGUUGAGCCCAAGAGGGAUUCUGUAGGUGGUGGGGUAAUGGCCUACCAAGCUUACGAUCUCUAGCUGGUCUGAGAGGAUUACCAGCCAAACCGGGACUGAGAGACGGCCCGGACUCCUACGUGAGGCAGCAGUGGGGAAUAUUGCGCAAUGGGGGAAACCCUGACGCAGCCAUGCGGCGUGAAUGAAGAAGGCCUUCGGGUUGUAAAGUUCUUUCGGUAUUGAGGCGUUAAAUACAGAAGAGGCACAGGCUAACUCCGUGCCAGCAGCCGCGGUAAUUC
rnacentral:rRNA from 1 species